CAAGGAAGGAAAUGCAUCAACGGUUUAGCACACAACUCCUAUCACCUAAUGCAUCAAACAAGGUGAUAAAGAUUUUAAAACAUCAAGGAGGUGGCGAAUGCACCGGGGCUUGCCUGAAUAACACUAGGUUAGUAUUUGUUAGGCGAUGUCCACUUGACGAUCAUCUUUGUCCUUGCACUUGAUCAGGCAUGUUCGUCCAUCAGCAUCAUCCUGCGGAUUAGCCCGUGCUUGGGGUCGACUUGGCUCGUCUUCCACAUCACGCGAUUAUUUAUCGUACCUCAUGAGAUGCACGGUGCACAUGUAUGAGCACGAGUAUAAAUAGUACAAGAUAGAUAAUUUACGCUAAAAAGGACGAAACACUUAUAACCUAUAACCAAGCAUAUUUUAUAUAGUAUACCAAUUACAACUUUAAAACUAAAAGACCUAAAGUGUUUAUACUCAUUACUUAUUAGACAGACCCUAGAUUUUGAUUGAAACAAAUAUAUCGAUGUUACUUGAUCCUAAGUAUUCGAAGUAGCAAUCAACAAUUAUUCAAAUCAUGAAAUCGACCAACACACAUAGAAUAUCAUACCUAGUUUAGAGAACACACUAAACGACUUAUAACUUUAACUUCAAAAUUCUUGGGCACCUAACACUUAUAAAAUUUAAUAAAAGAACUUUCAUUAACUUUCUAAACUAAUUUACCGGUUAACCUGUGUAUCAUAUAUAUUAAUAAAACUUCCCAGUUUUAACACCUAUAGUCCCGCAAACACUGUGACCUCUUUCAUCCUACGACAUCGACCAAUUACCAAAGCGACUUAGGCAAUUUAAUAAAUAUUAUAUCUAGCCAAACCAUCCAUCAAUCCACUAACACGAAAAACAAAUGAACUUACCCUGACUAAUUCGACGCGAUAGUCGCAAGCACGACGACGGUUUCCGGUUGACGUCAUUGAUCACACACGUCAGGCGAGCGAGGCAUACAAUCCGGGGAUUCCUUUUUGCCGAGCUGGUGACGCAUGGCUAGCACCAGAGUGUCUUUACGGCUUGGGGCUUAGCGUAGACGAGGAUGACGAUUGACGACUUGUUCGAGCUUUUUUGUCGCGCACGAGAAUGACGAGUGACGACUUGUUCGAGCUGGACACCAUGAAUGAGAUGUUCGGCCACCAGCGAGGGAGUAUGCCGAGCGGGGAAAAUACACAGGGCGCGUACGAGCUAAGCGACGACAGGACGGACAGAUCGACGCCAUGGGCGAGAUCCAAGUUAGACCAGCAGCACACGGGCGAGCUCGCGCCUCGCGCGCACAGAGACUGAGUAAAGGCUGGGCGCAGGGAAGCAACGGCCACGGCAAGGGAGCUCCGCGAGCUGGGCGACAGCACGUCGAGCGCCAGGGACGAGCUCACGGCGGAGUCAGACUCGGCUGGUCAUGCGGGUCGGGGAAAAAGAGAAGCUGGACGCCGAGCAGAAGUUCGACACGCGCAGGGACCAAGCGAGCUGGAGGGUGAGCAGGACGCGCGCACGAGAAGAUGGAGCAGGCAGGGAGCACGCGCGCGCAAGGGAGCUCGACGGCUGGGCGAGCUGGAGCAGACGCGCGUCAGAGAGAGCAGGGCGCGAGCUUGAGGGCGACGGCACCACGGGGAGCUUGACCGGACGCCGGAGCAGAGACGAACACGGAGGGAUCUCGGUUGGGGAAGGAAAUCCGAGCCAGGGGCGAGCUCCAGAGAGCCGCGCGGCCCGGUUGCGUGCAGGGAGCCGGCGAGCACAGCAGGGAGAAGACGCCGAGAGGAGGGGAUGAGGGAGCUCCGGCCAUGGAAGCUGCUCGGCGAGCGCAGAAAACUGGGAAGCUGCCGCACGGGGGAAAAACUUGGGGCGCGCCGGUCAUGGAGAAGAAGCUGAGGGGGUCGCGACGCAGGAAGCUGGGAAGUUCCACGGCGAGGACUCGGCUGGAGGGGACGCAGCUUGUGAUGGCGGCAGGGAAUGGAAGUCACGAGGGACGGAGGGAGAUAGAAGAGACACGAUGCUUGCAGAAGAUAAGGAAGCGGC